rnacentral:lncRNA from 1 species
CUGGUUACUUUUUACAGAUAACCAUGAGGAAGAAAGUAAAACGAAGUUAAAUCAUAGACGAAUUAUGUGAUAGAAAGCCUUGAGACUUCCAUGCAUGGAAAGAUGCUGAGCAAUUUCAAGAAAGCUUUGAGGUUGUGGAAACUUUUUGAAGACACAAAAUAGAAACAAUCAGAGACUGUGCAGAUCAUCUGUCACAUCCCACAGGAAAGAAGAACAUUAGC